GACGAACGCUGGCGGCGUGCCUAACACAUGCAAGUCGAGCGGAGAUAAUAGCAAUGUUAUCUUAGCGGCGGACGGGUGAGUAACGCGUGGGUAACCUGCCUUAUACAGGGGGAUAACACAGGGAAACUUGUGCUAAUACCGCAUAACAUCAGACCAUCACAUGGUGGACUGAUCAAAGGAGCAAUCCGGUAUAAGAUGGACCCGCGUCCGAUUAGCUAGUUGGAGGUGUAGCGGACCACCAAGGCGACGAUCGGUAGCCGAACUGAGAGGUUGAUCGGCCACAUUGGGACUGAGACACGGCCCAGACUCCUACGGGAGGCAGCAGUGGGGAAUAUUGCGCAAUGGGGGAAACCCUGACGCAGCAACGCCGCGUGAAGGAUGAAGGUUUUCGGAUUGUAAACUUCUUUAGUCGGGGACGAACAAAUGACGGUACCCGAAGAAUAAGCCACGGCUAACUACGUGCCAGCAGCCGCCGCAG
rnacentral:rRNA from 1 species